rnacentral:rRNA from 1 species
CGCGUAGGUGGUUCGUUAAGUUGGAUGUGAAAUCCCCGGGCUCAACCUGGGAACUGCAUUCAAAACUGACGAGCUAGAGUAUGGUAGAGGGUGGUGGAAUUUCCUGUGUAGCGGUGAAAUGCGUAGAUAUAGGAAGGAACACCAGUGGCGAAGGCGACCACCUGGACUGAUACUGACACUGAGGUGCGAAAGCGUGGGAGCAAACA